ACAAGCCUAUAUAUAGAGAGAGUAACACUAUUCUAAUCCCAGGAUCAGGAUAACUAAUUGGAUCACGACCUAUAUAUAGACGCAACAAGAUGCUCCUGAACUCCCGAAUCGGUAGGAAGGAAAAUAAAAUAAAAUAAAAUUCGAUUCCUUCCGAUCACACCUCCUCUGCCCCCAAUUCCUUCCUCCUACACCGCCACCCCCUAGAUCUGGCAGUCGCGCCGCCACCGGCCACCGGAUCCGGCCGUCGCCGCCAUCGGCUACCCUGCCACCACUGUCACUCGGAACCGUCCGCCGCGCCGCCACCAUCCCACGGAUCCGGCCGCUGCGCCGCCCCACCGCGGGAUCCGGCCACCGCGACGGCCGUGCCAAUCCUGCAUCGCCCAGUGGUGCAGCGACCAUUGCAUGGAGAUUCCCGUCGUCGCUGACCUCCGGCUAACUUCCCUGCCACCAGGCCGUGGAUCUCUCCCCGCUGGUAACCUGCUCCGGCGACCUUCGCCAGCCUACUUCACCGCCUCCCUCGCUGCGCUUGUCGGCUGCGGCGUCCCGCUUCUCUUCCGCCGCUCCUCCUCCUCCGGCACAGCACCCGUGGCCCACAAGGCCACCGCGGCCAAGGCCCUCGCCGCCAAGAAGGAGCAUGAGCCCGACCACGACGACGGCAGCUAGCAGGUAGCCCUCUUCUUCGGCACGCAGACCGGCACCAGCGAGGGGUUCGCCAAGAUCCUACCAAGCUGCAGCAACACUUUGUUAUUUCCUCGCCUUGCUCCUAUCAGACUCGAUGUGUUGUGGGCAAUGGACAAGAUGAAGGCAUGGACCUGGCGACUGGGUACUAGAAGCGAGCUACUGCACUUGGUCUACUCGAUAGCUGCCCUUGUGGCUGUACUUGGACGGCUGCAGAUAGUGCAACCGAAUGUCCCUGUGUGUUUUUGGCAGCCCAUUUUUACAGUUGGUGCUGAUGAACAUUCGUCCAGGUUCUUCUGUACUGUUGCUAUUUGCUGGAAAAAAUCAUUGAUUUUCAA